GACGAACGCUGGCGGCGUGCUUAACACAUGCAAGUUGAACGGUAAGGCCCUUCGGGGUACACGAGUGGCGAACGGGUGAGUAACACGUGGGUGAUCUGCCCUGCACUUUGGGAUAAGCCUGGGAAACUGGGUCUAAUACCGAAUAGGACCAUGGACUUCACGGUUUGUGGUGGAAAGCUUUUGCGGUGUGGGAUGGGCCCGCGGCCUAUCAGCUUGUUGGUGGGGUAAUGGCCUACCAAGGCGACGACGGGUAGCCGGCCUGAGAGGGUGACCGGCCACACUGGGACUGAGAUACGGCCCAGACUCCUACGGGAGGCAGCAGUGGGGAAUAUUGCACAAUGGGCGCAAGCCUGAUGCAGCGACGCCGCGUGAGGGAUGACGGCCUCGGUUGUAAACCGUCUUUCAGCACAGACGAAGACG
rnacentral:rRNA from 1 species